rnacentral:rRNA from 1 species
UACGGGGGGAGCAAGCGUUGUUCGGAUUUACUGGGCGUAAAGGGCGUGUAGGCGGCCACCGCAAGUCGACUGUGAAAUCUCCGGGCUUAACUCGGAAAGGUCAGCCGAUACUGCGGGGCUAGAGUGCAGAAGGGGCAACUGGAAUUCUCGGUGUAGCGGUGAAACGCGUAGAUAUCGAGAGGAACACCUGCGGCGAAGGCGGGUUGCUGGGCUGACACUGACGCUGAAACGCGAAAGCCAGGGGAGCGAACGGG